UUUUUUUUUUUCGUACGUAGGAUUUAGAAUCCUACGCAUCAUUUAUUAUCGUUCAAAUUAUAUUUUCUUCGAAGAUAGAACGAAAUAAUACUCAAGAAAAUUCAGAACAAUAUUUCUUUCACGAUAGAAUAAAAUAAUAUUCCAAAGAAAUUCAAUGAAACCAGACCCAUAUUUCAUCAUCCUUCUUGUGUGCGCUAAAACAAAUCGUUAAGACAUUAGUGAAAUGCAAUAUAACGAGAAUCUCGUUACCAGAGAUAAAAAUCGUAUUUCUUCCCUUUUGGGAUUCGUUCUCGCGUUUCGAUUUCUCGCGGGACGUUGAAACGUUGGUGAAAACGUAGUAAAGAUGACGUCACAAUGGCGUUAAGGGCAACGAAGCACACAGUUUCGAAAACAUGAAAGACUUCAGGAACAAUGGUGGUCUUGGUUCUCGAUUGUGGUUUGCUGUCGUUCUGCUUUCAUCGAAAUAACGAAGCUGGUCAAACGUAUCGAAGCGAAGGUUGACGACAAAGUUUCCCAUCGUCAUCGCAGCUGCUGUCUCCGUUUUCCUUUUACGUGGCUCACACGCGGCAGACGAUUCUCUUCGAUCAAUAGGGUUCCAGGUGUUCCAUGUAUUACUUAGAAGCCUCGUUCCCCGUAUUGGUUAAUGACUGUUGAAUAAACAAUAGCUUUCGGUAGACCAGUGUAAAUU